rnacentral:rRNA from 1 species
AUUGAACGCUGGCGGCAGGCUUAACACAUGCAAGUCGAGCGGAUGAAGGGAGCUUGCUCCUGGAUUCAGCGGCGGACGGGUGAGUAAUGCCUAGGAAUCUGCCUGGUAGUGGGGGAUAACGUCCGGAAACGGGCGCUAAUACCGCAUACGUCCUGAGGGAGAAAGUGGGGGAUCUUCGGACCUCACGCUAUCAGAUGAGCCUAGGUCGGAUUAGCUAGUUGGUGGGGUAAAGGCCUACCAAGGCGACGAUCCGUAACUGGUCUGAGAGGUUGAUCAGUCACACUGGAACUGAGACACGGUCCAGACUCCUACGGGAGGCAGCAGUGGGGAAUAUUGGACAAUGGGCGAAAGCCUGAUCCAGCCAUGCCGCGUGUGUGAAGAAGGUCUUCGGAUUGUAAAGCACUUUAAGUUGGGAGGAAGGGCAGUAAGUUAAUACCUUGCUGUUUUGACGUUACCAACAGAAUAAGCACCGGCUAACUUCGUG